CUUUGUUUAACCCUCAGCAACUCUUCUUCUUCAGGUACUUUGUUUAACUCUCAGCAACUCUUCUUCUUCAGGUACUUUGUUUAACCCUCAGCAACCCUUCUUCUUCAGGUACUUAGUUUAACCCUCAGCAACUCUUCUUCUUCAGGUACUUUGUUUAACCCUCAGCAACUCUUCUUCUUCAGGUACUUUGUUUAACCCUCAGCAACUCUUCUUCUUCAGGUACUUUGUUUAACCCUCAGCAACUCUUCUUCUUCAGGUACUUUGUUUAACCCUCAGCAACUCUUCUUCUUCAGGUACUUUGUUUAACCCUCAGCAACUCUUCUUCUUCAGGUACUUUGUUUAACCCUCAGCAACUCUUCUUCUUCAGGUACUUUGUUUAACCCUCAGCAACUCUUCUUCUUCAGGUACUUUGUUUAACCCUCAGCAACUCUUCUUCUUCAGGUACUUUGUUUAACUCUCAGCAACUCUUCUUCUUCAGGUACUUUGUUUAACUCUCAGCAACUCUUCUUCUUCGGGUACUUUGUUUAACUCUCAGCAACUCUUCUUCUUCAGGUACUUUGUUUAACUCUCAGCAACUCUUCUUCGUCUUCAGGUACUUUGUUUAACCCUCAGCAACUCUUCUUCUUCAGGUACUUUGUUUAACUCUCAGCAACUCUU